rnacentral:rRNA from 1 species
UACAGAGACUGCAAGCGUUAUUCGGAUUCACUGGGCGUAAAGCGCGCGCAGGCGGUCGGAGGCGUCGGUGCUUAAAGCUACCACCGCUAACGGUGGGAAAGGUGUCGAUACGCUCCGACUGGAGGGCGGGCGAGGGUGGUGGAAUUGCCGGUGUAGUGGUGAAAUGCGUAGAGAUCGGCAGGAACACCAGUGGCGAAGGCGGCCACCUAGCCCGCACCUGACGCUGAGGCGCGACAGCGUGGGGAGCGAGCUGG